rnacentral:rRNA from 1 species
ACGGGAGGCAGCAGUGGGGAAUAUUGGACAAUGGGGGCAACCCUGAUCCAGCCAUGCCGCGUGUGUGAAGAAGGCCUUUUGGUUGUAAAGCACUUUAAGCGAGGAGGAGGCUUACCUGGUUAAUACCUGGGAUAAGUGGACGUUACUCGCAGAAUAAGCACCGGCUAACUCUGUGCCAGCAGCCGCGGUAAUACAGAGGGUGCAAGCGUUAAUCGGAUUUACUGGGCGUAAAGCGCGCGUAGGUGGCUAAUUAAGUCAAAUGUGAAAUCCCCGAGCUUAACUUGGGAAUUGCAUUCGAUACUGGUUAGCUAGAGUAUGGGAGAGGAUGGUAGAAUUCCAGGUGUAGCGGUGAAAUGCGUAGAGAUCUGGAGGAAUACCGAUGGCGAAGGCAGCCAUCUGGCCUAAUACUGACACUGAGGUGCGAAAGCAUGGGGAGCAAACAGGAUUAGAUACCCUGGUA